CAUCGGCCCUUAGCACUGAGGGGACCUUCCUGGGGCCCAGCGAGCUGCCCCCUCAUGCUGCUAGGCAGCGUCAAUUCGCUCUCGGGUGGUGCGCAAACGAUCGGGUGUGGCCGGCAUGGCCUGUGUUGUGAAUAGCAGGGCAGGAGGCAAGCGGGGAGAGCAGUUACAGCUGUGUGCGGGUUUCCUGUAGAAAACAUGGGUUCGUGUCCGAUCCCCCUGCCAGCCAAACCCCGCUGCCCCGGGCCUAACAAACAGUGAGCUGACUACGUGUAGCGAAGUAACCAAAGACACACCAGCUUGCCGGGGUGUCGUGUUGGCGGUGUGGCCACUGCAGCAGCCCCAGUGUGAAAUAGCUACUCUGACUCCUGCAAAAUCAGCCCCGCCGGCUCCCAUUCCUCCCAAGAGGAGUUUUGUCAGAGGCUUGAGCAAUUUGAAGGCAGGUGCUCAUCUGCACAUGACAAACGGGGAUCUUUAACGUUUGCAUCAAAACCCCAGGAGAGUCGGUUUUGGAAGAGAAACGGUGGUCGCAACUCGUUCCUUUCCGAGCAGGAUCAGUACACGGUGUAGGGGAUUGCUGCAAAGGAUGAAGCUAAAGCGGAGAUGGGCCACGUUUGUUGCUCAGGUCAUUAGGGACCCUGGACACACUGGAACUAAGGACACCACCAGAACCACAGGACAUCAAAGGACAGGAGCCACAAACAUGAACACCAGGAUACUCAGGACAGG